rnacentral:rRNA from 1 species
CCCUUAGAUGUUCUGGGCUGCACGCGCGCUACAAUGGCGUUUUCAAAAAGAUUGCUAAUCCGAAAGGACCAGCGGAUCUUCGAAGUGGCGUCGUGAUCGGGACAGUUGAUUGCAAUUAUUCGACUCGAACGAGGAAUUCCUUGUAAUCGUGCGUCAUCAGCGCACGCUGAAUACGUCCCUGUUCUUUGUACACACCGCCCGUCGCUCCUACCGAUCGAGCGAUCCAAUGAAUGUUUCGGAGCGGAACUGAGAUGCUAAUGCGUCUCUUUUACGCGAAUUUUUGUGAAUUUGAUCGCUUAGAGGAAGGAGAAGUCGUAACA